rnacentral:rRNA from 1 species
AUAAGUAGGGUGCGAGCGUUGUCCGGAAUUACUGGGCGUAAAGAGCUCGUAGGUGGUUUGUCGCGUCGUCUGUGAAAUUCCGGGGCUUAACGCCGGGCGUGCAGGCGAUACGGGCAUAACUUGAGUACUGUAGGGGAGACUGGACUUCCUGGGGUAGCGGUUAAAUGCGCAGAUAUCAGGAGGAAAACCGGUGGCGAAGGCGGGUCUCUGGGCAGUAACUGACGCUGAGGAGCGAAAGCAUGGGGAGCGAACAGGAUUAGAUACCCUGGUAGUCCAUGCCGUAAACGGUGGGCGCUAGGUGUAGGGGUCUUCCACGACUUCUGUGCCGUAGCUAACGCAUUAAGCGCCCCGCCUGGGGAGUACGGCCGCAAGGCUAAAACUCAAAGGAAUUGACGGGG